GACGAACGCUGGCGGCGUGCUUAACACAUGCAAGUCGAACGGAAAGGCCCUGCUUUUGUGGGGUGCUCGAGUGGCGAACGGGUGAGUAACACGUGAGUAACCUGCCCUUGACUUUGGGAUAACUUCAGGAAACUGGGGCUAAUACCGGAUAGGAGCUCCUGCUGCAUGGUGGGGGUUGGAAAUUUUCGGCGGUUGGGGAUGAACUCGCGGCUUAUCAGCUUGUUGGUGGGGUAGUGGCUUACCAAGGCUUUGACGGGUAGCCGGCCUGAGAGGGUGACCGGCCACAUUGGGACUGAGAUACGGCCCAGACUCCUACGGGAGGCAGCAGUGGGGAAUAUUGCACAAUGGGCGGAAGCCUGAUGCAGCAACGCCGCGUGCGGGAUGACGGCCUUCGGGUUGUAAACCGCUUUCGCCUGUGACGAAGCGUGAGUGACGGUAAUGGGUAAAGAAGCACCGGCUAACUACGUG
rnacentral:rRNA from 1 species